UAGGGAAUCUUCGGCAAUGGACGAAAGUCUGACCGAGCAACGCCGCGUGAGUGAAGAAGGUUUUCGGAUCGUAAAACUCUGUUGUUAGAGAAGAACAAGGACGUUAGUAACUGAACGUCCCCUGACGGUAUCUAACCAGAAAGCCACGGCUAACUACGUGCCAGCAGCCGCGGUAAUACGUAGGUGGCAGCUGUGGUCCGGAUUUAUUGGGCGUAAAGCGGUGGCAGGCGGUUCAUUAAGUCUAAUGUGAAAGCCCCCGGCUCAACCGGGGAGGAUCAUUGGAAACUGGGAGACUUGAGUGCAGAAGAGGAGAGUGGAAUUCCAUGUGUGGCGGUGAAAUGCGUAGAUAUGUGGAGGAACACCAGUGGCGAAGGCGGCUCUCUGGUCUGUAACUGACGCUGAGGCUCGAAAGCGUGGGGAGCAAACAGG
rnacentral:rRNA from 1 species